CUCCUCCCACCAAGUCAGGGAACAGCCUCCACAGGACAAGCAUAUCAGACGCGGGGAGAGCAGUGUGCAGAACGCCAUCCCUGCCCUGUAAUUUUGAAGCAGUGCUAACCAACAUGAGUGCCACACACCAGCAUGCACACGAGUGGGCUACGGGCAUGCAGAUAUUCUGGCCCUGAGAGCCGGAUAGGCACAGGCACUGUCUAUCUAUGAGGGAGACAGAACACUGCUCAGAGAAGCCCUGGCCGUGAGAAGCUGCUUUUCUAGCUCUUCACUUCAGUCCUCUCUGCAUCUCUCUCCUGCUCUGGAGCCAGCACCUCGGAGGCCUCUGAUAGACAGCUAACACAAGCACCUGAUACCAUAACGUACUGCGGCCUCAAAGACAGCCCAGCCCACAGGAUCAGGGGAGCCCUCCUGGUGCAGGUGACCCUUGCGCUGAGUUCUGAGGGACUAGAAAAAACUGGCCAACCCCAGGAGAAGCGACGACGGACAGGACAAGAGCAGUGAUGAGUGGAGUGAGGGUGUCUGUUUCUUUAAGAAGCCCGUUAUGCAUUGCUGCUGGAGCAGAUUACGAUUCUAUCAGCACCCUAGAGAAGAACUUAGAGAUGGAGAUUGUCAGCAAUGACUACCAGCCUUAGAAACCAUCUGGAAAAAUAAAAUUGUUAAUGGAACUAG
rnacentral:lncRNA from 1 species